rnacentral:lncRNA from 1 species
AGAUCUUCCCAGAAAUGAUAACAGCUCCUAGAAGCUCAUUUCAGCCCAGCCCACUCAAUCAUCGCAGAACGUUGUAAAUUUAAUCGCCGAAUGCAAAGAGAGCAUGAAAGUGUCAAAGAUUUCAUCACUGAACUGAAGCAUCUUGCAAGAGA